UACGAAGGGGGCUAGCGUUGCUCGGAAUCACUGGGCGUAAAGGGUGCGUAGGCGGGUGUUUAAGUCAGGGGUGAAAUCCUGGAGCUCAACUCCAGAACUGCCUUUGAUACUGAAGAUCUUGAGUUCGGGAGAGGUGAGUGGAACUGCGAGUGUAGAGGUGAAAUUCGUAGAUAUUCGCAAGAACACCAGUGGCGAAGGCGGCUCGCUGGCCCGAUACUGACGCUGAGGCACGAAAGCGUGGGGAGCAAACAGG
rnacentral:rRNA from 1 species